GGCAAAAAAAAAAGAAAAAACCCAGUCUUAAAUUGAGGUUUUUAGGACUGGUAAGAACCCUUACGUCGCAAAAUCCUAUUCGACCAUCCCUUAAUUUCUCUCUCUCCUUCGCCUCGCGAAACCAGUUUGGCUUCCUCCUCCAUUCUCGAUCAGUCCGUCUCCAGUCUGAGAAACCAAUUCUAUUUGGGAGCUUAUCAAACAACGAUCAACAACAGCGAUAUCCCUAACCUCUCGCCGGAGGACGCCGUGGAACGCGACUGCCUCGUCUUCCGCUCUUACAUCGCCCUUGGAAUGUGCUCUGUAUUCCUUUUUGUGGCUUCUAUAUUGCAGAGGAGAUUGAUGAACGUGGCCGAGACCACAAGUCAAGAUCACCAGAGUGGUCAGCAGCAAAGGAGAUAACUUCGGAAGCUGGCCCUCUAAACCCAUAAUGACCGAUCUCGAUGACAUAAAAGGAAGAGGAAGACGCUGUUGCUCAGACGGCUUCUUUCACUUGAUGAUUUUCUACUUGUCUUAAUACGUUGAGUCAUACAUAAAGCCUUUCCACUGCUGAACCCAUACUAUGUUGUGAUUUUAAUUGUUUUAUAUAGAAAUAUUACAUUUUUUGUGUGUUUUACUUGCUGUUACUGUCUGUUUCCUUGGCUUUUGUUUGAAAUCAGAAUAUAUAUGCCUUAAGCUUCAAGAACAUUCUUUACUGAUCUAAAACUGCUUCCUUUUGUUGUUGCAGGGAGCGUGCAAAGACUGAUGUAUCUGUUCCACAUGCUCCUGUUCGAGGUUCGUUUGCUCAAAGGAGCGUGCAGAGACUGAUGUUUGCUCAAAGGUGCGUUUUAGAUAUUGAGAGUGAUAUCAAGACUCUAUGCCAAUGUUUUGAAGUCAUCUGUAAAAGAAGUAUCUGCACAAAACAAAGAGCUGCUACAAAAGGUCUGGAGAGCAAAAGGCUAGUGAUUCAACUGAAGGCAAGGAUCAUGAUGACCACCUAGGAAAAGUAUGCUUGAUGCUAUUGAACGUGAGUUUGAAGGUACUUCAACACAUUCCUCUCUAUGAGUCUUGACAAAUUAUAUGAAUCUAAAUCAGAAUGUUAUAGAAAGAGUUUGCUUAUGUAUUA